rnacentral:rRNA from 1 species
CCGGGGGGGGGGUCUAUACUGCAAGUCGAGCGGACAGAUGGGAGCUUGCUCCCUGAUGUUAGCGGCGGACGGGUGAGUAACACGUGGGUAACCUGCCUGUAAGACUGGGAUAACUCCGGGAAACCGGGGCUAAUACCGGAUGCUUGUUUGAACCGCAUGGUUCAAACAUAAAAGGUGGCUUCGGCUACCACUUACAGAUGGACCCGCGGCGCAUUAGCUAGUUGGUGAGGUAAUGGCUCACCAAGGCAACGAUGCGUAGCCGACCUGAGAGGGUGAUCGGCCACACUGGGACUGAGACACGGCCCAGACUCCUACGGGAGGCAGCAGUAGGGAAUCUUCCGCAAUGGACGAAAGUCUGACGGAGCAACGCCGCGUGAGUGAUGAAGGUUUUCGGAUCGUAAAGCUCUGUUGUUAGGGAAGAACAAGUACCGUUCGAAUAGGGCGGUACCUUGACGGUACCUAACCAGAAAGCCACGGCUAACUACGUGCCAGCAGCCGCGGUAAUACGUAGGUGGCAAGCGUUGUCCGGAAUUAUUGGGCGUAAAGGGCUCGCAGGCGGUUUCUUAAGUCUGAUGUGAAAGCCCCCGGCUCAACCGGGGAGGGUCAUUGGAAACUGGGGAACUUGAGUGCAGAAGAGGAGAGUGGAAUUCCACGUGUAGCGGUGAAAUGCGUAGAGAUGUGGAGGAACACCAGUGGCGAAGGCGACUCUCUGGUCUGUAACUGACGCUGAGGAGCGAAAGCGUGGGGAGCGAACAGGAUUAGAUACCCUGGUAGUCCACGCCGUAAACGAUGAGUGCUAAGUGUUAGGGGGUUUCCGCCCCUUAGUGCUGCAGCUAACGCAUUAAGCACUCCGCCUGGGGAGUACGGUCGCAAGACUGAAACUCAAAGGAAUUGACGGGGGCCCGCACAAGCGGUGGAGCAUGUGGGUUUAAUUUCGAAGCAACGCGAAGAACCCUUACCAGGUCUUGACAUCCUCUGACAAUCCUAGAGAUAGGACGUCCUCCUUUCUGGGGGCAGAGUGACACGUGGGUGGCCAUGGGUUGUCGUUCAGCCUCCGUCGUC